GGGAAGGUCUGCUGGGGUGGUCCAUGCUCCACAGUUGGGACGACGUCAGAGCCUCCUGGGGGUCUCCACCCCCCUCUUUCAGGACUCAGGGGCCGAUCAACACGUGGACCAGCAGAAGACAGCGUGGGCUUCCUGGCCGCACAUGUCCAGUUGGCCAGAUGGUGGUCUUCUGUCGUCUGCUUUCCAACCAGCCGGCCCCUCCGGAUCUGCUGCCCAUCUCAGCCCAGGCCCCACUGAUGGAGGGGCCCCGAGUCCCCUGGACCACCUGCUCCCGGGGCUGAGAGGUGAGGGGGCCUGCAACCCCCGCCACCCACUCCCAGCCUCACAAGGAAAGAAGGCCGAGGAGGCAGGAUGGCAGGGGUGGCCUUGGCCCGCUACCAAGAAAGGGGGGCAGGCGCACCUUCUCCAGAGAAGCUGCCGCUCACCAGCCGACUCAGGCAGAAGAAAGAAAAAUGCUCAGCACCAUCUGUCCCCAGAGCGGGGCUGCUGGGCCAGGCUGCCGGCAGCUCGCGGCCAGCCCCACUUUCAGAACCGACAGCUGCCCCUGGGCUAUUUUGGGAAGCGCCUCAGCUCGCAGGCGCCGGCCUUCGAGGCAUUUCCCGACACUCAGCUGUUGGCACAGCAGCCAGGCUGCCAGCUCCUCUGGCCCUGGACGCCUUCCAGCGCAGCCCACUGGAACCAGGCUGCUCCCGACUCCCCGAGAUUCCCAACUGGAGCUGGGCUUCCCGGGCAGCGGGGAGAGCGAGGCAGGCGAGAGCGAGGGCCACAGCGGUGGAUGGUGGAUGGGGCUUCCUCCCCCUCCUCGGGCUCCUUUGCAGAGCUGCCUCGUCUCCCCCAAGGACUGGACCCCCCUAGGAGUCCAUCUUCCCCUGGCCACCCUCUCCCCACUCCUUUUGUGAAUAAGUCCCUGGUGGGUGACGUGGGGGCACCUUGGGCACAGAUGACAACAUCAGGCAACAUGGGGUUUUCGAGGCAACUAAAAGCAGUUUGGAAAGUUUGGGGCCGAGAGGGCGACAGCACAGUGGCAGGAAGGCCCCAAAGCCAGCAGCAGAGGCUGGGCCUGGAGGACAGGAGCCAGGAGCCAGGAGGCUUAGAGCGGAGUGGCCAUGAGGUGAGGUCCCCAAGACAGAAUUGCCCUAGCCCCUGGAGCCUCCCUGGAGUCAGAGGGGACAAGGCAGAGGGACCAGCAGCCUGCACUUCCAGAGGCAGGAGGAGGGCACAGAGCUGCAGAGGUGACUGGGACAGAAAGGACGGGAUCAGGUGCCCAGGUAGGGAGGAGUGGGGACAGGAUCCUGGGGGCAGGGUGGCCAGAGGCAGGGACAGAGCCGCGAGGGGAGGGCCAAGGUGAGCUCAGAGCUGAAUGUGAGGGUUGGGGGGCCUGAGGG
rnacentral:lncRNA from 1 species